UACAGUGGGUGCAAACGUUGCUCGGAAUCAUUGGGCGUAAAGCGCACGUAGGCGGUUCGUUAUGUCGGAUGUGAAAGCCCUUGGCUUAACCGAGGAAGUGCACCCGAAACUGGCGAGCUAGAGUACUAAAGAGGAUCGCGGAAUUCCCGGUGUAGAGGUGAAAUUCGUAGAUAUCGGGAGGAACACCGGUGGCGAAGGCGGCGAUCUGGGUAGAUACUGACGCUGAGGUGCGAAAGCGUGGGGAGCAAACAGG
rnacentral:rRNA from 1 species